rnacentral:misc_RNA from 1 species
GGGUAUGAUGGUGUAGCCCAGCUGUGUUGUGGCGUGAGGAGGGCCAGACCGACCGAUCGCUGUUCACUUUUCAUUGUCGGGUCGGCGGGUGCAGCCCGUUCCGGUAGUGCCUUGUCGCCGGGAAUGUCGAAUGGCCGCUGCCUUGGCAUGGCAACAACGCCGACAAGCCAACCCGUAUCCAGGGGCCGCGGUCGUGGCAGGGGCAGAGCCAGGCUUGGCAUUCAGGUAGCCCAUACUUCGAGCAGCAACACGGCUGCAAACACUGGAAAGCCGAAUGUGGCUUGUGCAGUCGAUAGCACAUUAUCCACAGCAGCACCCUCAGUUCCUGUUCGUGAUUUUGCUGCUGACCAGUUGGCGUACAAGCGCUUAGACCCCAUUAGUGCGAGAGCUGGUGGUGAUGCCUCUGCACCCCCUGCGGUCAACAGGAUGCGUGCAAACAAAGCCACCAAAUUGCCUAGAAAUGCACAGCAGCAUAAUUGGCACUGCCACCCAAGUGGUGUCCAGGAUUCCGUGGAAAGUAAUCGGAAGUCCCACCCUACGCUAAGUACAAACGAUUCGAGCAACUCGCCUAUGAGCCAUAGGCCCAGCUUGCCCAGACGUUGCAGAGUUGAACCUGGGUGUACUUUUCGGCCAGAACGCAGCGGACAACAGCACAGGCCGGUCACAGGAAAAGUUCUGCAUGACCGUUCCAACAGCAAGACUGAUGCCAAGACCUGCGGGCCCUCCUCUGGCUGCCCUACAGGUACCAAACCAUUUGCACCAUCGUCAAAGAGUAGGAAAAGUCUGACUACUAGCAAUGACGCUCAGCAUGGGCGAGCUGUUGCCACUGGCACAGGUCAUCUGUAUGCGCUGCAUUUGCACAACAAUUGUGCCGAGUUGCCACCAGUAGAGGACAUCGUGAAGCGUCUACAAGAAAUACAAAUGGAAUUUCAAAGGGACGGCCUCAGUAUGGAACUGCCAUGCUCGAUGACGGACACGAAGCCCUGCUGGAUCUUGAACAACUUGAGGACGUUCAACCGCAUCCUGAUGAGAGUCGACAUUGAACUGAAAGAAGAAGAGCCGCGCAAACUCUGCGUUUGUUCUCUCGACGAAGCGGUGGUGAUGCACUCAAAUGACAACUGGGUCUUUGACGCCUGCAUCCUGUUCCACUUGCUCCUCAAAAGGCACAAGUGCAUACAAACUUUGCACCUUGACAAGACAGCUGUGGCAUCCGGUUACCCACAGAUACUCUGCGAUGCAUUGGCCUGCAACAGGGGCCUUAGGCGCUUGGCCAUCGCCUGUUGGGAUUUCUUACCUGCCACAGAGCGCACACUCGUCUACUCAUUGUGCAAGAUGCCUGCACUCGAAUAUAUUUGCAUUUCGAAACUGUCUGUGACGCCAAGUGCAGCUGCACGUAUCGGUGACAUGAUAGCGAGGGCGAAGUGCAUACGCAAGGUUAAGUUCCUGGAAAAUGACAUGUCGCCCGAGGCUGGUACGGAGCUCAUGAAGGGACUGUGUCGCAACAGCGGCCUUGAGCUGAUUUGGCUUGACGACAAUGCCCUCGGAACUGGCGGAGCACGUUUUCUUGGUGAAUUCCUUGCCACGUCUACCAAGUUGCGAGAGCUGUCGCUGAGUGAUGUGCCAUGCUUCGAUGAACAACAACUGGUGUUCAUUGCAGAGGGGCUGAAGACAAAUCGUAGCCUCGAGAAAUUGGAGAUUCAUGGGUGCCGCGUUGCUGCGGGUGGCAUCGACAGGCUUGCCGAAGUUCUAAAGAACAACAGCACUCUGAAGUACUUGGAAGUGUCCGCAUGCAACCUUGCGCAAGCGGAAACCAGGUCUUUCGCAAUCCUUUUAGAGUUUAACACUGGUCUCCUUGAAGUAAACAUCAGGGACAACCUUAUCGAUGACAUUGGAGCGAUUCGGCUGGCACAGGCAUUGAAGUUCAAUAUGCACCUGGAGAAGCUGAACCUUGAGGCUAACAACAUCAACUCACCGGGAGUGGUUUCGCUUGUCGAAGCACUUGCGAGCAACAGUGUGUUGAAGGAGCUAACGCUGGGCUGCGUUGAAGCGGAGGAUGAAGAGGAUGAACGGGCAGUCACUGCCGCUUUAAAUCGCACAGCUGCCUAUGACCGUGUGCGACUGAGCUGCUAUGACAUUCGGGGUGUUUUUCAGCUCUCAGCGAGCCUUCGCAUGCAUGCUGACCGUAUCACAUCAGUGCACUUAGAUGCAAGUGUCGACGUCGAUGCCGAUUGCCUCAAGGACCUGUUUGUUGCACUGGCUACUGUUUCAUGCCUAAAAUUUCUCUGCAUAGAUUCCCAAGCCACUAUGGAUGGUUCCGCUGCCAGGAGGUUUGCCAAGCUACUGUGUAUGACGAAAACGUUGAAGCAUGUUCAGAUAAACUCCUGCAGUGCUGACAGCGUGGCGCUGGAAACAGUCAUGAGGGGCUUGAAGAAGAACCGGUCUGUGUUGUUCAUGGAGAUAGAGUUUGCAGCCUGCAACACUGCUUGCACUGACGCAUUUGUGGACAUGUUGAAGGGCAACACAACGCUCACCCAUUUUGGCUACAUUACCACCAAGCUUUCUGAGCUGCAAGUGAUAGCUCGCGAGCUGCCAGCAAAUCACGUCCUGACGUCCCUCAAGAUUUGGGAGAAGCCCAGCUUCAGGGAGGCCAUCUUCGAGAUUCAUGAAAUCCUUCGGCGUAAUGUCUCGUACCUCAACCGAGCUGUCGAGUUUGCCAUGGAGCCAGAGAGGUUUGGUACCCAGCGGUAUCCAGCUGUGGCUUUCGAGGAGCUUUGCCUGACGGACUCUUUCCAGAACCAUCUUGCCAGCAUUGUCGGACCACACCGUGCGCUCGAGGCGAUGCGCAAUGCCCGUCGACACAUCACGACAAACCUGUUUGCUAUCACAGGUGUGUGCCAAGUGCCGGUCACUUGCUGGCCGCACCCAGAAGGUGCACGGCAAAUAGACUGUCUGAACAUCUUUUGUUGGCUCAACAUCUUUUCCCAUCUGAAGGUAACGGACAUUGUAGUCUGACGGAUUGUUAACAUGUCAUCACAAGGUACUGCAGGGUUAUCUUCUAGGUGAAACACAUAUUACUGUCUUAUUUUUAUCUACUAUCUUAUAUUAUGUUCAUAAUUGCACUUUACUAACGUAAAGCCUUGCGUUAAAUUGGGCCAAUGUAUGAGAAGAAAUGUGAAAUAGCAUUAUGUACUAUUAGGUUUUGUGGUGUAUAAGAUGACUUCAAGGGUAUAUCCAUGUAAGAUAAGUACAAGUUGCGUAUUUACCCUUGAUGGGCAUCUUAUAACCUAUGCACCUUUUCUGCUUUCAGUUACGUCCUCAUAAUUAAUGAUGGCUAUCUUUUAAAUGUAUCUUUAUUUAGUGUGUGCUAGAAGUGUCUGCAUAGCUAAAUCAAAGUGUGUAUAUAUGAAAAGCAGCAGGCCUUGCGGUCUUGUUUUUAUUAAUAUAUUAAUUAUUUAACUCUUUCGUUACCGCAAGAAAUAUGUUCGUUUUUAGUGCUUUUGCAUUUUAAUGUUACGACAACCAUAAGUACUGCAGUACAUAAAUUUAUAGCCUGUUUGCUGGUGCUUUGAAUGGACAUGUAGCAGUAAUAAUUGCUCGGGCAUCUGUUGAGAAUUAUAUGAAGCUUCAAAGAAGCCCCUUAAGAAACGCGAAUGAAACUAAUAAUUUGCCCUUUUUGAAUAUAUCUACCCAGAGAAAAAAAAGAUCUGAAAUAUACAAAAUAUACUCUUGGUUCCUUGUUCCCAACUUUUGUAUGUCAGAUCACGCAAGCAAAUUAUUAUGAAUAUUUGUUGGCAUCAGUACUAGCCAUAGAUAUGCCCAUGCUAUGCGGAAAAGUAGCUUUGCAUGAAAACAGGCAAGUUCCCAUUGCGCAGGGAGCACUUGUUUUUACUCAUUGCAGCAGGCACCUGGAUUGUUAUUACCACAUUUUUUAGGCUCACGAAACAAUGGUUGUCAGGGUCGGGGAUCAUGCAGAAGCUUCCUCAUGCUUGAUUAUUGUGUUCGAUCAGCUUUUCUGAGCGAACAGUGUGGCCUGCUGCACGUUCAACUGCUGCUGGAGCCUCCACAUGCCUUGUUUAGUUGUUCAGUGUUGUACCGUAAUGUGGAGAGUUUGCAAAAUAUUGUGCUCUAAAAGAGCACUUGGUUGAAGGUUGGUCUGAAAUCAACUGUUUGCUUUUACGUGAGUGAAAACCCCGCACUACAGGAAGGAUUGCUUGUAGUAAUUUGUACAUGCGCUGUCAAAUUGCCUAUUGAUAAAAGCAACUCACAGUGGGGAAAAUGAAGUUGCAUUUGAUAUUAGUCGAACACAAUUAUCAAGAUGUGCAUUCAUGAGCAAUCGUUCGUCGUUUGAGACUGUUAAAAGUGCCUGUAUGUGGGAUCAGAAAAUUGAAAAUACGGGAGAACCGUCUGUGUCUUCGUUGCUACUGUCAUUUAAUAUUUGUGUCGCCGAGUCGACCAAAGCACAAAUGUUGAGUCUUUUUAUUGAGGAAGUGCAAGAAGCACUGAAGGCUAGUUUCAACUAUACAGCCAGUUGAAGGUUUAUUUUUACAAACUUGCGAACCUGCCAAGAGUGAUGAAACCUGACAAUAGUUGGAAGUUCAAUUGUGGUUUCAGAAGGUGCAUGAUGUUGCUAGUAGGAUAAUUGAUAGACUUCUGUAGUUGCGGUAACGAAAGAGUUGGCACACCAGUGGUACAUAUUUUACAACUGUGGUCGUUGGUGUGUCGAGUUUUUACAAUCAUUCAUGCUGAAAUUGCUGCACGGUAGACCUGCUGCGUAGAUUUCGUAAAUGUUUUGAAAGAAAGUGUUAUUUUGUACUCGUAAUGGAAAAUAGCCGGGUCUAUGGAAUUGGUGGACUCCUUCUGUUCAGUUUGCGUUGCCUCUGCAGCUGCUCACGCAUUCACUGAAUGGGUUCGUUAAUCAAAAUGAUGUUCCUUUUAUUGUCCUUUUAUUGAUGUGUGUGUAUCCUAGUCUUCCGUGCAGCUUUUUAUAAGUAGUUGAUAUUUAGCUGCGAUAAUCCCUUACACCAGUUAGCUAGAGCUCGUCGAUUAAAUUUUGGGUGUGCAGCUUGGCAGUUCCGAGUGGCCUGACCUAGCUUGUGAUUUCCUAUGGUUUGUGAAUGUGUUAGGAUUGAGUGAGUAUUGUGCUAGUGCACAUUUUAAAAUAUCUGGAAGCUAGGUAGAAACAGCUCUUAUAGUUCAAAGCACUGGCAUAUCUGCGCUCACAUUUUAUACAGUUGUGGCAUUUUGUGGUGCAUUGCUUUUAAUAUCCUGUCUUGGUGCACUGUUUGAGUUGCUGCACUCGCUGUUUAACAGCCCGAGGAACCUUUUUACGCAAAAUUUUUUGGUAGUCAAAAGGACUCCUGGUAAUAUGAGAAUGAAAUGUUGAGUGCCUUUGCUUGCUCUUUCUUUUUUUUUUGAGCAUGUGAGCAGUGUGAUGUACAGAAUGGUCGAUGACUGCGCUGAUACCAAAAGAUUGUAUGUUACACCUGAUUGCAGUGUUUUUAAUUGUUGUCACAAUCCAAGAGCAAUUGUGGCACCUGCACCUUUGGUGCGUCUACAAUAUGGGAGCACCGUUGCUGUAUCCUUUUGGAGACUUGUAACCUCGUGUUCCUUCAUUUACCCGAAAUGAAGAAUUCCCUUUUCAAGCAACCAGCUGCUGCUUGGCCAAGUUAAGCAUUGUGCUGGUCGAAAGCAAAUAAAAGGAAAAUCCUCAUUAACAUUACUGUCUAUGUUGGCAUUAUUGAGGAUUGCUUACGGAAACCUUUACAGUACACAUAAACACUGUGUAGGAGCUUGGAACUGAGCUAAUGUGUCUAAUGAACAGAUUGAGGGUUCCAACAUGUGACAAGACUGUUGUUUAUGUGUAUGGUGCAUCUAACUGGAAUGUUGUCAAAGUUGAUGCUGCUGUUGCAAGACAGAUGUACAGCACAAACUCGCUCUGUACUAAAUGCAACGUGAUGGCAUUAAAACACAUUCAGAUAUGCA